rnacentral:tRNA from 1 species
GAGAACUUAGUUAAUCAAUAAUAAUACCUUGUCAAGGUGCAGUAAUGGGCUAAAAUCUCAUAUUUCUUU